UCCUCACUCAUUGGCCACUAUGUGGAGGAAAGAGGAAAUAAUCAUAAAUUCUGAGAGUGCGAUAUGCAAGGUGGUAGGAAGAUUCCAUGAUGACGACCACGCAAGGCAAGUUGCGAGUGAGUCAAACCUCGUCUGCCUCAUUUUGUGUACCAGCACAACACUGGAAAGGUUGUUUAUGAUGACUGCCCUCUGUACAAAGCAUUUAAGAUUUGCCAGCACUCUGUAGCGGUGGCCGAGUCACGUGGAUCAUUGGCCCAAUUUCUCAAGUGGAGAAAGUCUGUGUCAAAAGGACAGAAUUCGGCUGAAACGCUAACCAAAUCUUCCCUGCCUAUGGCUACAACAGGGAAGAAAAAAAGCGACAGGAAAAGGUUACCUUAGAAGAAACCCAGCACAACCUCAAGCCGUAAUUUCGUUGAUCCAUUGGACUACGAGCUUACUGUCCCCGAAGAACCGUUGUCUUCCCUUGAAUCAACGGUACAAAAAUCCCGUGCUGUUGGCGUUAAUCCAGAAAUCCAUAUUUCGUCUAUUGCAAUUCAGAAUAAUGCCCAGGCAGAGAAUUCGUGGUUAUCCCCAGGAGCCCAAUCCUCCAAUCAACAGCAAGCAAACUUAAUUCAAUCUCAGCAUACUCAACUACUUGGCUCAAACUUUGGCUCAGUUCAAUCCCCUAUAGUAAAUCAACAUAAUCUUACUGGAAGUGUGAUUGGUACACAAUUCAACCAAGCAGCGCUUUACUCACAGAUUCAGCGAUCAUUUUUAGUUCAACCACCUCUUGCUAACCCUCGCUACCGCCCUGCUGGUAUGAUUACCCCUACUGCACAGUCUCGGGGAAUAAUGCCACCCGUUCCAGCACCGCAACCGCCGGUACCUGAUCAUCAACAGUGUAGUCCUUCAACCAGCAAACAAUGGCAUUCAAGUAACUCCCCGUAUCGGUAUGAACUAGUGAUUCUUACUAAUAUGGUAAAAAAAUGCUACGGUUGUGCUCAGAAUUUUGCGAAGUGUUACAGAGAAGCACCGAAGAAUGUGGUUGUGCGUCACUAUGAUAAGCGUGUCAAGGGUAAAGACCCACAUGGAAAUCUGGUGUACAGCGAUGGCUUUCAGGCAGCGUACUACCACCUUAAUCCAGGUCACAUUAUGAUGAAAAAUUAUAUGUUUGACGGGCGUGUUAUGGUGGCAAGAGAAUUCUGGCAGAGUUUGUCGGAAGAGGCUAAAGCAAAUGUCUGCGCAUCAGGACUACAUGUCCAAUUUAUGUAAAUAGAGUAUUGUUUUUUCUUAUACACUAUAAUUGCGUUAUGUUAGGUUAUUUUAUGAUAUACUUAUGGGGUUUACUAUGUUUGGAACUUUAAGGAACUUUUUAAAAAGUCGAUAACUUUGUGUUUUUUUUUCUAUACUAAAUAAUAGA